AAUUAACACCUCUGUCUUCAGAAUCUCAACUGGCCCCACUGUAGGGCAGUUUGGGGCAGUCCCAUCAGGGUCUUCCCCUAUUUCUCCUUUCAGGGCAAGUCUUGCUGCUGGAUCAGCAGGAUGCAACAGAGGCCUCACCAAGUGGACUUGGCAGGAAGUGAGAAAUGGGGCUGGAGAGAAAGAACAGGCAGGAAGAAAUGGGAAUCCAGAGGACGUGCAUGUGACAAAGAAACCAAAGUAUUUGUUCCUUAUUGAUGAAAAACAAGUGACAUUGCUACGAUGGAUAAUCUGCACAACUCUCAGAAAUGCCAGGUGCCCUUGAGCUAUCAGGAUACCAGAGCAGAUACCACAAGAAAGCUGUCCUAAAGCUUCGUGAUAACAGGCAUAUCUAGUCUGUGAAGUGAACAAACAUCCCCAAUGACUUAGAGAGAAGAUUAUGUAGAUUUUUCUGGGAUUGUCCAUGACAGCAAUUGAGAUGGUGUUUCUUCCCCAGCUUUCUCUUAAGAAUUAAGAGUAUCAAGCUCACAGAAUUAAAUGACUUGCUUGUUUGAUACCGACAGGGAUUUUGGGAAAGGGGCCGCUAUCUCCAUGGGCAUCAGAUCAAACAUCAGACUAGCAUCCUAUCCUACUUCUCAGCAUAGUGAAACUGGAAGUACUAAAUCCUAAGAAAAUGGCUGGAACCAGAAAAAAGCCACAAUCUUUCAGAAUCCUUGCCACCACUAGAAAAACACAACUUGUUAUAGAGUUCACUGGUAACCAUGGAAUAUGAAAUCCAAACUUUGGUCAGGCCAAAUUUUACAUUAACCUCAGUCAACCAAAUAUGCUGCAGAAAAUUUUAAUCCAUGAUCCAUUUGAUUAAAAUAUUUGCAUAAUUUCACUUUGUGUAAGGUGAAAUGAAAAGGUCCUAUAAUAUGAAAGUUGGACUACCUUCUAAUAAAAAUGUUGCUUCACGGUACUGCCUUACUUA